AGCUCGACCGGGUCGCAGGCGCGGGUGACGACCAGAUAGUCCCGCAGCGAGAUGCCGUGCCGAUUCUC
rnacentral:sRNA from 1 species